CGUGGAGUAUGUGGUUAAUUCGAUGCAACGCGAAGAACUUACCUGGUCUUGACAUCCCGGAGACCCUUAGGAAACUAGGGGUGCUUCCAUCUGGAAGAAUCUGGAGACAGGUGCUGCAUGGCUGUCGUCAGCUCGUGUCGUGAGAUGUUGGGUUUAAGUCCCGCAACGAGCGCAACCCUUGCCUUUAGUUGCCAGCAGUUCGGCUGGGCACUCUAAAGGGACUGCCGGUGUUAAACCGGAGGAAGGUGGGGAUGACGUCAAGUCCUCAUGGCCUUUAUGACCAGGGCUACACACGUACUACAAUGGCCGAUACAAAGGGCAGCGACACUGCGAGGUGAAGCCAAUCCCGUAAAAUCGGUCUCAGUCCGGAUUGGAGUCUGCAACUCGACUCCAUGAAGUUGGAAUCGCUAGUAAUCGUGGAUCAGCAUGCCACGGUGAAUACGUUCCCGGGCCUU
rnacentral:rRNA from 1 species